GGAGCAAACCUCUAAAAAUAGGUCUCAGUUCAGAUUGCAGGCUGCAACCCGCCUGCAUGAAGUCGGAAUUGCUAGUAAUCGCGGAUCAGCAUGCCGCGGUGAAUACGUUCCCGGGCCUUGUACACACCGCCCGUCACACCAUGGGAGCCGGUAAUACCCGAAGUCAGUAGUCCAACCUCGUGAGGACGCUGCCGAAGGUAGGAUUGGCGACUGGGGUGAAGUCGUAACAAGGUAAC
rnacentral:rRNA from 1 species